UAAUACGUAGGUGGCAAGCGUUGUCCGGAAUUAUUGGGCGUAAAGCGCGCGCAGGCGGCUUCUUAAGUCUGAUGUGAAAUCUUGCGGCUCAACUGCAAGCGGUCAUUGGAAACUGGGAGGCUUGAGUGCAGAAGAGGAGAGUGGAAUUCCACGUGUAGCGGUGAAAUGCGUAGAGAUGUGGAGGAACACCAGUGGCGAAGGCGGCUCUCUGGUCUGUAACUGACGCUGAGGCGCGAAAGCGUGGGGAGCAAACAGGAUUAGAUACCCUGGUAGUCCACGCCGUAAACGAUGAGUGCUAAGUGUUAGAGGGUUUCCGCCCUUUAGUGCUGCAGCUAACGCAUUAAGCACUCCGCCUGGGGAGUACGGCCGCAAGGCUGAA
rnacentral:rRNA from 1 species